rnacentral:rRNA from 1 species
CUGCCAAGGGCAUUGCUGGGUAGCUAUGUAGGGAAGGGAUAAACGCUGAAAGCAUCUAAGUGUGAAGCCCACCUCAAGAUGAGAUUUCCCAUUUCUUUAAGAAAGUAAGACCCCUGAGAGAUGAUCAGGUAGAUAGGUUGGAAGUGGAAGGCUAGUGAUAGUUGGAGCGGACCAAUACUAAUCGGUCGAGGACUUAACCAAA